GGGGGAUGCUGAUGGCAUUGGCCCCUGGACCACACUUUGAACAGCCAGGAAAAUGACACAGAGGCCGUCACGUGGCAUACCUCUAAACCAAGAAGGCAACUGGUGUGCAGACAUAAUUCAGGAAAAAUCUCCUUAAAACAAUUAUGCCAGGGAAAUUGCAAAAAAUUAAAGCAAGAACGGAGGCUUACUCAAACUCUGGAGCCCUACCUUGGAGCCUAGGUAAUGGAUUUGAUUCGAGGGAGAGAACCAGGGCUCCUCACCAUUUUAGAAGUUUGACAACAGC